rnacentral:rRNA from 1 species
UGGGGAAUAUUGGACAAUGGGCGAAAGCCUGAUCCAGCCAUGCCGCGUGUGUGAAGAAGGUCUUCGGAUUGUAAAGCACUUUAAGUUGGGAGGAAGGGCAUUAACCUAAUACGUUAGUGUUUUGACGUUACCGACAGAAUAAGCACCGGCUAACUCUGUGCCAGCAGCCGCGGUAAUACAAAGGGUGCAAGCGUUAAUCGGAAUUACUGGGCGUAAAGCGCGCGUAGGUGGUUUGUUAAGUUGGAUGUGAAAUCCCCGGUCUCAACCUGGGAACUGCAUUCAAAACUGACUGACUAGAGUAUGGUAGAGGAUGGUGGAAUUUCCUGUGUAGCGGUGAAAUGCGUAGAUAUAGGAAGGAACACCAGUGGCGAAGGCGACCACCUGGACUAAUACUGACACUGAGGUGCGAAAGCGUGGGGAGCAAACA